UGUUUGAUAACCUAGUAAGGGGAUUACGUUUCGGCCGUAGUUGUGGAAUAGUUGGUUCCUGUCAA
rnacentral:tRNA from 1 species